rnacentral:rRNA from 1 species
GGAAUUGACGGGGACCCGCACAAGCAGCGGAGCGUGUGGUUUAAUUCGUUGCUACACGAAGAACCUUACCUGGGUUUGACAUAUAGGUUGUAGGGAACUGAAAAGGGACCGACCCUUCGGGGAGCCUAUACAGGUGUUGCGUGGCUGUCGUCAGCUCGUGUCGUGAGAUGUUCGGUUAAGUCCGCUAACGAGCGCAACCCUCGCUGUGUGUUACAAGUGUCACACGGAACUGCCGGUCAUAAACCGGAGGAAGGUGGGAUGACGUCAAGUCAGCAUGGCCUUUAUAUCCUGGGCUACACACACGCUACAAUGGGAAGGGACAAUAGGUUGCGAAGCCGCGAGGCGGAGCCAAUCCAGCAAAACUUCCCUCAGUUCAGAUUGCAGGCUGCAACCCGCCUGCAUGAAGUUGGAGUUGCUAGUAAACGCAGGUCAGCCAUACUGCGUUGAAUACGUUCCCGGGGCUU